ensembl:lncRNA LINC00426 long intergenic non-protein coding RNA 426
GAGGUUAGAGAUUGACUAGACAUAGUGCCACUGUCAUCCCUGCUGGAGAAGGUCCGAAGCACCUCCACCUCUGUGCUUCCAGAGGGGCACUGUGGUGGCCACUUAAAAUGCUCAGGCUAUACCAUGCACUAGAGCAUCUACCUGGGCAAGGGAUAUGCUGUAUGACACUCUCCUGAUGCUGGGCAUGGCUGUGAGCCAAAGCACCCAGGCAGCCCUGCCAUCAGAAGGGUAAACCACGGACACCUGAUGCCUUCCUGAAGGAAGAGCACUACGCCUGCCAAACCAUCAAGCGUUGAUGCUCCAGCGCCUUCUACCCGUGGUUCUCCAGCCUCAGCAGAAGAGAGAGAAAUUGAUGACCCUGUCGUUGUAGCAUCCCCAUCACCCAGCAAUUAAUUUUAGUUCAAUGCUUCAAACGCUCUUCAGGCGCAGUGUGCGUUCAGCUGUGUCAGCUAAUGCAAAUGGGGGAUCUCAGAAGUCUUAAUGAAGUAACUAUCCCUGAACACUGGGAUCAAUACUCAGCAUCCAGCUGUCAAAUCAACACCAAGCCGCCUCCUGGAGCAGAUUGUUAAGCUGAUGCGAGUCUGGGCUCUGCCUCACCACUUGUCUCAGAGAAUGUCCAGUGCUAGGAGACUCAUAAGUUGGAGAGAAACGGCCUGAUUUAUAGAAACUGAGCGAGACUCCGGACCACCUGAUGCAGAGAAACCUGUGACCUGAAAAAGUCUAUUUGUGUUUCCUCUAGGAAUCUCGGCCAAGAAGACAGGGACAAGCUCCCAACUCUGACUACCCCUUUUACAGGGAAAAAAAAAAAAUCCCGUGCCUUCUUUGCAGCAAGUGACAAAUCCUUGUCAUAUCGAGAUGGCUUUUCCUCCUCCUCUUCAAACAUCUUUUAGCAGCAACAGCAGCUCAAGUAACUGGAAUUAUUUCAGAGUUAAAAUGCAGGCUUUGUAGACCCUCUUAGACAGACAGAUUCAAUUUCAAAGGAAACUUCUUUGGCUGGGUACUCAGUGAGUGUUACACAGGGAUUUGGGGAGUUAAUAUUCACUGUUUCUGUUGUUGGAGAAAAGGAAAGCAGAGUUGCUCUUUCUCAUUACUCUCCCCAACGCACAUCUGUUUCCUCUCGUAUCUUGGAAUUAGGAAGAUGGAGGAGACUUAAGUGGUGACCCACCUAGCCUCCUGAUGCAUGCUGGGCUCACUUUAAAACUCCCAAAACAGAUGGCAGUUGAUCACGGUUUUAAAGAUCCCAGCAUAGACUUUCUGCAGCCUCCCUUGUUAGCCACUAUCAGCGCUUAACAUUCUGUCAUCUGAAUAACUCCUUAAAAAUGAUAGCAAUGGUAGUAGAAAUUUAAAAGGAACCUCCCAAAAAACAUGCAAAAGCUUACCACCCCAGUAAAUCACCCGCAACAAUGUCGCAACAGUUUAAAUUUACUGCAGAGAGAGCUGAAGUUUAGGAGACACAGCUUUAUAAUAUUUUUGAGAGAUAGUUGAGUGCAAAUGAGUCCUGUUCCUCUUGCAUCAGGGCCUGCUCCACUGAGUCAUCCUGCCUUCAGAAGCUUCCAGCUAAGUGGCAGGCCCCGGCCAUAGGCUCCCUGUGUCCCCAGCCUCCAGAGAACACACAAUGUUCUCAUCGCCCUUAGCUCCAUUCCAGAAGGGGCCUGCAGUUCUGCAGCUUAUCAGGGGUCUACUGGGAAGUGAGAUGUCACUGUCCCUUUCUGGCCCUGCAUUGUCUGUGAGUGGCUCUCCUGGAUUAAGAGUUGGCAAAGUAUGGCCAGUGGCCAGGACUGGCCUGCUGCCUGUUUUUGUUUAACCCGUGAGCUAAGAAUAGUUUUUACCUAUUUUAAGUAGUUGAAAAAAAAAUCAAGAGAAGAAUACUAUUUCGUGAUAUGUGAAAAAUCACAUGAAAUUCAAAUGUAAGUGUCCAU